AAGGAAUGGCCUGUCAGCGUAACUUCGCAUCUCCUUGCUGGGGAUGCUGAGCCUCUCCGGCCCCAUCGCCCCUCAUCGCUCCAGCCCGUUCCCUCCUGCUCACACCUCCUCUGGAGGGGGCUGCCCAGCCAGGACUCCUGCUUGCUGGCUGCCCAGCAGAGGCUCGUGCUCACCCUGGAGGAACUCCUUGCUGCCUGGGUGUCUCCGUCUGAGCCCAAGAUCCCUUCCUAGCUCACUUCAUAGCUGAGUUCAUCUCCUCACAAAAUGAGCAGCGGGCAGGUUAGGCAAAGAAUGUCUCGGGAGCAUCCGUUUCUCUCUCCUGACUGUAUACUGAAUCUGGAUAAAUAGCCCAGAGGGAGAUAUCUCUCUCUGGGCAGAUGAAUCUCACUCCAGGCAACAGAAACAAUGUGACUUUCUCUGCACAUGAAUAUCAGAAAGGAUGAGCUGCUCUGGACCUUUUUUCUCUGCAGCUGGGCAAGGAUCAUUUCCAGGGCUUGUCUGUGGAGCAUGGCCUGCUUCCCAUGACAAUCUAAGAAUUUUAAAUAGUGAAGUUUUCUACAGGGACCUUGGUUGUUGGGGAUGCUUUUGACCUCUUGGUUUCUUCCAGAUACAUGCUUCCUUGUGGUUUUUUCAUCUGUACCCUAGAGACCUCCACUGGCCACUGUCGCUGGCUGGUCUGAAGCGUGGGAAGGCUGAUCCAGGACCUGCUGCAUGGGUGUCUCCCUUACCACACCUAGAUGAGACCAAGUUCAUGAUCCGGUCAGGCCAUGGGAUGCUCUCGUACUGAGCCCACCAGCGGGACACCACCAGAGCCACGUAGAAACCUAGAGGCAGAGCUCCUUACCCAGCACAAAGGACACAGGGAUUAGCUCAGCAUAGCUGUUGCAGUAGAGCGCCAGCUUCUCAAACAUCAGCCUUUGGCUCUCACUCAGGAUCAGCCUAAAAGGGAGAAACAGCAGCAUCAGCCUCAAAGAAGAGUCUAUGCCUUGUUGGGCCUGCUGGGACAGGAAUCUGGCCAGGGAAGCCAAGGAUGGGUAGUCACAACACUGCUGCGCUGUGAGGCUGGGGAUGGUGUGAGUGAACAGCCUGGGACACCAGCCCACCUCCCCAAAACACCCUGCUGACCAGCCCAAAGGAGCUCGAAGUGGGCAUUGAUGGAGAGCGUGUGGCGAGUGAUGCAGUUUAAUGUCAGGAACCACCCCUGUUUUUCUCAGGAGAGUGCUGUGGGGUAUCCAGCAUUUGACAGAGAGCUUGGAUGUGCACCAUGGUUCACUUAAUAUCCUGCAAAAUGUCAGUGUAAACUCUGCUCUUAGGUGAGUUCCUGCUUCUUAGAGCUGCUUCCCUGCCUCUGUGCUGCAUCUGUGAUCGAACCAGCGAGGCGAGCUCCCUGUCUUUCCUCAUCAAAACAAGACCAGCUACAGAGUGCCGAUGCCUGAUCACAGAUCUGUGGUCUCAGAGCUGAUGUCUGCUCUCAAAAACGUGCCCAAAUUAUUGCCUGUUGUGUAAGGAGGGAAACUCUCUCCUAAAGCUCCCUGCUGGGGGCCAUCUCCAGUAUUGGUUCAGUCUUGGUCUCCACUGAUCUACACAUUACUUUUCUGUAGGAAAUCAUCAAAUCCAACUCUUCAUCCCGUGGAAGAGAAACCGUGUUACUUCCCAGGGCUGAAAAAGGAGAUUUCUCAGUUGCUAAGCCAUAUUGGAGCAGUGAGGAAGGACCUUUCCUUUCCUGGCCAGCUGCUCCUCCCCAGGAUCACUAUCCCAGUCCUGUGUUGCUCAGUUGUCCUGCUCCAGGGCAGGCUGAGAGUGAGGGGUGUGUUAAUGUCGGGGUGUAAGGAUGCUUACCUGUAGACAAGACUGAUGGUGAAGUAGAGAGAGAUGAAAAUAAGGAACUCAGAGUAAAGAAGUUUGUAGAUGCUUCCUUUCCAUUGGAGCAGGAGCUGUGAGAAGGUGCCUAGGCGGGCGUCAGCCACACGGUUGGUGUAUGUCACCGUCAUCACAGAUCCUAGUGGAGAUGCAAAGCGAGCAGAUGUUGAAGCUGCCAGCUAGCUUGCACAGAGGGAAGAGACACGGACACCUCAAGUGUCCCAGAAAGCAAACAGGAAGGAAGGAAGGAACAACGAGCUGAGAUCAAAAGACAGGUAAGAUGAAGUCAGUGACAUAGAGAACUAGGAGGACAUUGAUGGUAGGCAAUUAAUUUGAUGACCUUGCCAUCUUUUUUCUGCCUUCGAGCUGCAUGUGAGCUGGUUACAAUGAUAGAAAAUACACUUUCUGGUGGAGCCCUUGGUUUCAAGCGUUGAUUGUCAGCAGUCAAGCGGGGCGGGUUGGUUGGAGAGGACAAAGCCCACUUGCCACUCCCUCCCACAAAAGGGAGUUGUUUAAGCUCACUUCUUAGGGUCACAGACUCCAAAGUUGCUUAAGCCAUUUAUUUUUUUCUUAUAGUACUUUCUUCAAAUAUGUUUCUGUAAAUCUACUGUUUGGGAAGUGUCUUCCUGAAAUACUGCUGGGGGGGAAAAAAAAAAAAAGCCCAAAGGAAAGCAAAAACCCCAGAAAUGAGAGAUUUCUUGGUAUUGAUCCAGAUGAAGGUAGCCCUGGAGAUUUGAUUGGUUUUGUAGCACUUGCCCAACAAGUAUAGCUGUCUUUAAAUUUGGGCUGAGGGCCAUAUCCGGACAAUGCUGGUCCUAGUCCUGCAGGCAGAACAGUCCCCCCUGUUAGAGAACGGAGGGAUGGAAUUUGGCUCACAGAGCACGAAUACGAGCAGCUCUGCCUCCCCUCUCCUUCAACCAUACGUUGCACAAUAAAUCACACUGGAUCAAAAAAGGCAUUCAGGCUCCUGAAAUGCUUCCCAAACAUGCAGGAUCCCCAUUGCGCUUUUUCUAGCAUAACCUUGGAUAAAUCUUUAUCAUCAGUUAAUAAUCAGACUCACAUUCAAAUAAUCCUGAAUUUGAAAAAAAAAACAAACAAACCCAAACCACCAGUGUAAUCCAUGCCAGGCAGAUAGGUGAAUGAUCCCUUGGUUUAUAAAUAAUUAUCCAAUGUGAAACUGUUGGUAUUUCUAAUCUUAACGAGUUACCAGGUUGUGACACAGGCACUGCUGUUUAAGAGGCAAUGAUGUUAAUAGUUAUGGAGCCUUGGGCUUUCCCUGAAUGGUGGAGGUAAAGCAGCACUUUAAGGGACAAUUCAGCUGCUUUGUAGCAGCAGCUGAAAGCAGGUAAGCUUGUGUCCAUGCUCUUCAUUUAAGCAUCUUGGUGAAAGACCUACACUUAGGUGGGGACCAACUCAAGUCCUGGUGAGCUGGUGCUGUGAAGAAAACCAGCAAAGUCUGUUUUGUUGGUUACUUCAACCAAAUAGCAUCUUUAUCCUGGCUUUGGCUUUUCAGUGCUGCUCCUCCUUUGGGUUUCCCUGUCGUAUCUCUCCCUGAGGCCCCUCUCCCAGGUUCUAUCGAAGGAGCAGAGCUGGCCCCUGCCCUGCCAAGGGCUCCCCAGCUGCACAAAUGCACCUUUCACUGGAGCCUCGUGCACAUUCAUGCCGUUUCCAUAUGAUUGCUAGCCAGUGCAGAGGACUUGGAAGAGCAGUUUUUAAUUGCCCUGGAGACUGCACACGUAUGGGCUAUACAGAUUCACUUUUUACCAAACAUGGAAAACUUCAACUCCUGUCCAUGUAAAUAAUGGAUGGCACCCAUCUCUACACAGUUCUGCUC